GAUGAACGCUGGCGGCGUGCCUAAUACAUGCAAGUCGAGCGAACGGACGAGAAGCUUGCUUCUCUGAUGUUAGCGGCGGACGGGUGAGUAACACGUGGAUAACCUACCUAUAAGACUGGGAUAACUUCGGGAAACCGGAGCUAAUACCGGAUAAUAUUUUGAACCGCAUGGUUCAAAGGUGAAAGACGGUCUUGCUGUCACCUAUAGAUGGAUCCGCGCUGCAUUAGCUAGUUGGUAAGGUAACGGCUUACCAAGGCAACGAUGCAUAGCCGACCUGAGAGGGUGAUCGGCCACACUGGAACUGAGACACGGUCCAGACUCCUACGGGAGGCAGCAGUAGGGAAUCUUCCGCAAUGGGCGAAAGCCUGACGGAGCAACGCCGCGUGAGUGAUGAAGGUCUUCGGAUCGUAAAACUCUGUUAUUAGGGAAGAACAUAUGUGUAAGUAACUGUGCACAUCUUGACGGUACCUAAUCAGAAAGCCACGGCUAACUACGUG
rnacentral:rRNA from 1 species